rnacentral:rRNA from 1 species
GAUGAACGCUGGCGGCGUGCCUAAUACAUGCAAGUCGAGCGAACAGACGAGGAGCUUGCUCCUCUGACGUUAGCGGCGGACGGGUGAGUAACACGUGGAUAACCUACCUAUAAGACUGGGAUAACUUCGGGAAACCGGAGCUAAUACCGGAUAAUAUAUUGAACCGCAUGGUUCAAUAGUGAAAGACGGUUUUGCUGUCACUUAUAGAUGGAUCCGCGCCGCAUUAGCUAGUUGGUAAGGUAACGGCUUACCAAGGCAACGAUGCGUAGCCGACCUGAGAGGGUGAUCGGCCACACUGGAACUGAGACACGGUCCAGACUCCUACGGGAGGCGGCAGUAGGGAAUCUUCCGCAAUGGGCGAAAGCCUGACGGAGCAACGCCGCGUGAGUGAUGAAGAUCUUCGGAUCGUAAAACUCUGUUAUUAGGGAAGAACAAAUGUGUAAGUAACUAUGCACGUCUUGACGGUACCUAAUCAGAAAGCCACGGCUAACUACGUG